rnacentral:rRNA from 1 species
GACGAACGCUGGCGGCGUGCCUAAUACAUGCAAGUAGAACGCUGAAGAGAGGAGCUUGCUCUUCUUGGAUGAGUUGCGAACGGGUGAGUAACGCGUAGGUAACCUGCCUGGUAGCGGGGGAUAACUAUUGGAAACGAUAGCUAAUACCGCAUGAUAUUAAUUGUCGCAUGAUAAUUAAUUGAAAGAUGCAAUUGCAUCACUACCAGAUGGACCUGCGUUGUAUUAGCUAGUUGGUGAGGUAACGGCUCACCAAGGCGACGAUACAUAGCCGACCUGAGAGGGUGAUCGGCCACACUGGGACUGAGACACGGCCCAGACUCCUACGGGAGGCAGCAGUAGGGAAUCUUCGGCAAUGGGGGGAACCCUGACCGAGCAACGCCGCGUGAGUGAAGAAGGUUUUCGGAUCGUAAAGCUCUGUUGUAAGAGAAGAACGGGUGUGAGAGGGAAAGUUCACACU